rnacentral:rRNA from 1 species
CACGUAGGGGGCGAGCGUUGUCCGGAUUUAUUGGGCGUAAAGAGCUCGUAGGCGGCUCGGUAAGUCAGGUGUGAAAACUCUAGGCUCAACCUAGAGACGCCACCUGAUACUGCCGUGGCUAGAGUCCGGUAGGGGAGCAUGGAAUUCCUGGUGUAGCGGUGAAAUGCGCAGAUAUCAGGAGGAACACCGGUGGCGAAGGCGGUUCUCUGGGCAUUACCUGACGCUGAGGAGCGAAAGUGUGGGGAGCGAACAGG